AUUGAACGCUGGCGGCAGGCCUAACACAUGCAAGUCGAACGAGUGGCGGACGGGUGAGUAAUGUCUGGGAAACUGCCCGAUGGAGGGGGAUAACUACUGGAAACGGUAGCUAAUACCGCAUACCAUCGGAUGUGCCCAGAGGGGAUUAGCUAGUCGGUGGGGUAACGGCGCACCUAGGCGACGAUCCCUAGCUGGUCUGCGAGGCUGACCAGCCACACGGGAACUGAGACACGGUCCAGACUCCUACGGGAGGCAGCAGUGGGGAAUAUUGCACAAGGGGCGCAAGCCUGACGCAGCCACGCCGCGUGUAUGAAGAAGGCCUUCGGGUUGUAAAGUACUUUCAGCGAGGAGGCGUUACUCGCAGAAGAAGCACCGGCUAACUCCGUGCCAGCAGCCGCGGUAAUUC
rnacentral:rRNA from 1 species